rnacentral:rRNA from 1 species
AUUGAACGCUGGCGGCAUGCCUUACACAUGCAAGUCGAACGGCAGCGCGGGGGCAACCUGGCGGCGAGUGGCGAACGGGUGAGUAAUAUAUCGGAACGUACCCUGGAGUGGGGGAUAACGUAGCGAAAGUUACGCUAAUACCGCAUACGAUCUAAGGAUGAAAGUGGGGGAUCGCAAGACCUCAUGCUCCUGGAGCGGCCGAUAUCUGAUUAGCUAGUUGGUGGGUAAAGGCCUACCAAGGCAUCGAUCAGUAGCUGGUCUGAGAGGACGACCAGCCACACUGGGACUGAGACACGGCCCCAGACUCCUACGGAGGCAGCAGUGGGGAAUUUUGGGACAAUGGGGGCACCCUGAUCAGCAUGCCGCGUGAGUGAAGAAGGCC